rnacentral:rRNA from 1 species
CGCACGGGUUGAGUACACGUGGAUACUUCCCCGAGUGGUGGAUACCUGCGAAAGGCGGGCUAAUACAGCAUGGGACCACGCCUCUUUUGGUGUGGUGAAAGCAGGCUGAGGUAAACAAGCUUGCGCUUGGGGAUGGGUCCGCGUCCCAUCAGCUAUUGGUGAGGUAACGGCUCACCAAGGCUACGACGGGUACUGGUCUGAAGGAUGAUCAGCACACUGGAACUGAACACGGUCCAACUCCUACGGGAGGCAGCAGUGGGGAAUCUUGCGCAAUGGGCGAAAGCCUGACGCAGCGACGCCGCGUGGGUGACGAAGGCCUUCGGGUUGUAAAGCCCUGUGGAGAGGAACGAAUCGGGGGGGGCGAACACCCUCCCGUCCUGACGGUACCUUUUUAGCAAGCAUCGGCUAACUCUGUGCCAGCAGCCGCGGUAAGACAGAGGAUGCGAACGUUGCUCGGAAUUACUGGGCGUAAGCGCGAGCAGGUGGCCUUGUAGUCGGGUGUUGAAAAUCCCCGGGGCUCAAACCCCGGAAGUGCACCACGAUACUGUGAGGCUGGAGUACUGAAGAAGGAGAGCGGAAUUCCCCGGUGUAAGGUGAAAU